rnacentral:rRNA from 1 species
ACCAGACUCCUACGGGAGGCAGCAGUGAGGAAUAUUGGUCAAUGGGCGGGAGCCUGAACCAGCCAAGUCGCGUGAGGGAAGACGGUCCUAUGGAUUGUAAACCUCUUUUGCCGGGGAGCAAGGGCCGGGACGAGUCCCGGUCCGGAGAGUACCCGGAGAAAAAGCAUCGGCUAACUCCGUGCCAGCAGCCGCGGUAAUACGGAGGAUGCGAGCGUUAUCCGGAUUUAUUGGGUUUAAAGGGUGCGUAGGCGGGCUUUUAAGUCAGCGGUAAAAAUUCGGGGCUCAACCCCGUCCGGCCGUUGAAACUGGGGGCCUUGAGUGGGCGAGAAGAAGGCGGAAUGCGUGGUGUAGCGGUGAAAUGCAUAGAUAUCACGCAGAACCCCGAUUGCGAAGGCAGCCUUCCGGCGCCCUACUGACGCUGAGGCACGAAAGUGCGGGGAUCGAACAGGAUUAGAUACCCCAGUA